CCCGCACACGCACCCACACCUUCACCCACACCUACACCCGCAUCCACACCUCCCCUGCCACGCUGUCCGCCUUUCCUCUCUCACCUCCCACCUCCCCCCGCCCCACAUCCCACAUCCAAUACACACACACACACGCACUCUCUCUCACCUGCCACCCCCCUAGCUCCGGAAUAUCGUCCGCGGGUCCCCCCCGGGUAUUCUCCGUACCGCUGCCCGCCACCUCACGAUCGUGCCGUGCUACCUUUUCAUGCAGAAGCACAAACAAACAUACGCAAAUAACUAAAACAAAAGCGCACGUUAGACAACUUGCCAAUGUGGCCUCAUGGGAGGUGACGGAUAUUUGCUACACGACAACGCGCUGUAUGACCCACGGGUCCGUCCGUUCCCACGCUGCCGCUUCCCCUGCCCUCUCCCGUCCCCACCUGCUCCGCGGCCGCCUCGCUGGUAGUGGCGGGCGAUGUCUUUAUGUCCGGUUGCGGUGGGCGUUGUGCUGUUCUAUUGCCGACGUGGAGCGAGACGUUGGUUGAGUUUGUGUGCGCCUGGAAGAAAAGGGUUUUGUAACGAGGUAGCGGUGGUUGGAGAUGGGUGAGAGGGAGGAGGGAUGGUGGGUGCAAAGGUGCUGCCGGCGGGGUUCAGUCCUUGUGGAGCUAUGUGGCGGGUGGAGAGCAGUUUCCGGGACAUGCCGAGUAUCGAGUGUCACGUGUAGAUGUGUAUGCGGUUUUCUGCAACAACCUCACAACCACACGCACACACUCUCUGUUGUCACUGUCUGUUAUCGCCACACCCCCAGCUCACCUUGAGCCAUCCGAUGCCCGACUUCAUCACCUCGGUGAUGCCAUUGCCUGUCAGCUCAUUCGACCAACCAGACUAUUUCCCGCCGCCGCCGCCACCGCUGCCCUGCUCAUCACCCGCGUGUUCCGCCGUUCCCGUCGUUUCGAAAUUCGUGCGGCCGCGGGCCGUGGUGGCGGUGGCGGCGCCGCCCCCUUCCUUCUCCGGAGGCCGCCGCGGCUGCCGGCCUGACGUGGCGUACGGAGGCCGUACUCGGCACCCAUUUCCCCGUGGGGGCCGAUGACGCCUGCGUGUCAGAGAAAGACGUCAAAACACAACAUCGACACGGUAAACACACAUAUCUACAUACAUGCACACACUCUCUGUUGUCGUUACGCAUACACGUGCACAGGCAUAAAGCGGGACACGCAUAUGCAGGCUGUUAAGGAGGCUGCAUGCACGCGGGGGGUGAUACGCAGCCCAACCUCCCUAGUGGGUGUGCGCGCACACGCAUGUAGUCUACACUCAAAUCAUCACGUAGCGAAUUUCCCCCCGGGUACAUAUCACCUGGUUCGCCACCGUAGCGGAUCAUCCCGCCCUCCACCCCACGCCGUAUACCUCGCGACUGUAGCUACCAAGUUUCCUUCAUCUCCCCUUCCUCUCCCACCCGCACCCCCACCCGCACCCAUACCCACACCCGCACCCGCACCCGCACACGCACCCGCACCUCGUUGCAUCGCUGUCCGCCUUUCCUCUCUCACCUCCCAAUGGGCCCCCGCUAGCUCCGCCCCGCCCCACAUCCCACAUCCAAUACACACACACACACGCACUCUCUCAC
rnacentral:lncRNA from 1 species